AACGGAGGCUGUGAUGGGUAGGGGAGCGUCGUCUGCCGGGUGAAGCGGCACUGGAAGGUAGUCGUGGACGGUUGACGAGUGAGAAUGCAGGCAUGAGUAGCGAUACAAACGUGAGAAACGUUUGCGCCGAUUGACUAAGGGUUCCUGGGUCAAGCUGAUCUGCCCAGGGUAAGUCGGGACCUAAGGCGAGGCCGACAGGCGUAGUCGAUGGAUAACCGGUUGAUAUUCCGGUACCCGCUGUGAAGCGCCAAACAUCGAGCAUCGUGAUGCUAAGGCCGUGAAGCCGUUCCGGACCCUUCGGGGAAUGGAAAGUGGUGGAGCCGCCGAACCAAGCGGUUAGUAGGUGAGUGAUGGGGUGACGCAGGAAGGUAGUCCAUCCCGGGCGGUGGUUGUCCCGGGGUAAGGGUGUAGGCCGCAAGGUAGGCAAAUCCGCCUUGCAUAUGGCUGAGACCUGAUGCCGAGCCGAUUGUGGUGAAGUGGAUGAUCCUAUGCUGUCGAGAAAAGCCUCUAGCGAGUUUCAUGGCGGCCCGUACCCUAAACCGACUCAGGUGGUCAGGUAGAGAAUACCGAGGCGUUCGGGUGAACUAUGGUUAAGGAACUCGGCAAAAUGCCCCCGUAACUUCGGGAGAAGGGGGGCCACAUCCGGUGAUGGAACUUGCUUCCUGAGCUGGGGGUGGCCGCAGAGACCAGCGAGAAGCGACUGUUUACUAAAAACACAGGUCCGUGCGAAGCCGUAAGGCGAUGUAUACGGACUGACGCCUGCCCGGUGCUGGAACGUUAAGGGGACCGGUUAGCUCACUUUCGGGUGGGCGAAGCUGAGAACUUAAGCGCCAGUAAACGGCGGUGGUAACUAUAACCAUCCUAAGGUAGCGAAAUUCCUUG
rnacentral:rRNA from 1 species